AUACGGAGGGUGCAAGCGUUACUCGGAAUCACUGGGCGUAAAGCGCGCGCAGGCGGCUAUUUAAGUUGGAUGUGAAAGCCUACGGCUCAACCGUAGAACUGCAUCCAAAACUAUUUAGCUAGAGUGUGGGAGAGGAAGAUGGAAUUAGUUGUGUAGGGGUAAAAUCCGUAGAGAUAACUAGGAAUACCAAAAGCGAAGGCAAUCUUCUGGAACACUACUGACGCUGAGGCGCGAAAGCGUGGGGAGCAAACGGGAUUAGAUACCCUGGUAGUCC
rnacentral:rRNA from 1 species